AGCCUCCUCUUCCAGGCGGUGUCUGGGUCUGUUACCUCCCUUGCAAAGCAAACGAAGGUCUCUUGGGCUUGUUGGUGUUCCCAGGGCUGCUGGAAUAAUAGGGCUGUCGGGGGUUCCUAACAACGGGUAGUGCCACCCCCUUGAUAGGUGUCACCAGCUGAGCUGGAAUAAAAUGGAGAGAGCAUGUGUGGCCCCUUCCUGGGUUGCUGAGGUGGACAAGCUGCUGAGGCGCACUUUCAAGCCUCAGAGGAGCAUGAACUGGAGGCAGUGGGGAAGAAAGCUUGGGAUAAUCCUGUUUACAAUGGCUCUCCCUCUACCUCCUUGAAGAUUUGAGCCAUCUACAACCCCAAGUCCAUCCUGGAGAAUCCCUAUGAGAACUUUGAAGAGGUGAGGGAUCUGCUGCCCUACCAGGAAAAGCAGAGCAAAGCUGUGGAUGGGAAGACAAGUCCUUUUCUCAAGCGCUGUUUCUACAUCUUCAGAGGCAUUUGAGAUGGGAACUGCUGAAAACAACAGUGACCUCAAGAACCUCCAUGCAGUGGAGCUUGACCUGUGUAACAAGGACAUGACGGCAGACACAUUUGAUCACAGCGUUAUUUCUGUUGGAGAAGAGGAAGGACCAGGCAAUUUCCACCGUUCUCUUCCGACACGAGAGUCCCUCCGAUCCCCUCGGGGCUCUGUUGUGAGUUUCCAUAACAUCCAGUACUCCGUUAAGCAGUCCAGUGGAUUCCUAUGUAAACAGAAAACUGUGGAAAAGAGGAUCCUUCAUAAUGUUUAGUAAGUUCUUGCCUAAAUAAAAUACUGGAGGGUAGGAAUGAAUCUGCUGCUGUGAAUCAGUGACCUCACUGUCACCUUCCCCAUCCAGCUGUGCUGGUAAAGAAACGACUACCCUCCUGCCAGUGUGCAGUUCGUGUGAGCGCGUUCUCAUUUGCCUUUAGGCAAAAUAGCCAGGAUAUAGCUGGAGCAGUUUCAGUUCUUGAUCUGAGCAAAUUAGGACCAAACCUGUGUGAACACUUCUGCCAGAAGAGCUGAGGGUUCCCUUAACUAUGGUUCCAGCUGCAGUCGGAGGAAACGAGCAGUUGUUUCUUCUUGUCAAGACCCAGCUCAGCAGGGAAGACACUUAAUUUCUUUUGUAGAUUGCUUUUUAUGCCCAGCUCUGGUUCUGUUCUGACUGGCAGCCUGGGACAAGAAAGAAAAAAUGCUUAUUGAUUUCUGAUUUAAGGAGAAGUUUUUAAUAAUCUCUAAGUUUUGCUUUCAACAGCAUUUUGUUCACACCUUACCUCUACUAUGAGCUGCAUGUGAGCAGUCCUCCAUUUGGAAAGAACUCCUUCCUUCCUCCAGUGGCAUUAUGAAGCCAGGCUUGAAUGCUAUCCUGGGGCCAACGGGGAGCGGUAAAUCUUCGCUCGAGCCCAAAGCGCCCAACGGGGCUCGACCCCGGGGGUGCCAAGCACGUGGGACGCCAGCGGCGGGAGGGCACGCCGCCCCCAUCCCCUCGCCUCCUGGGAACCUGCCCGAAGGACUCGUCCCUCUGCUACCCGCACCGCCGCCUCCACGUGCGAAGGGGCAAUAAAGGUCAGCCAGCAGGAACGGGAGAGCCGGGACCGCGGGAGGGAGCAUGGCCAAGCUGGGAAACCUCCUUUCCCCAUAGAAAUCUCUCCUGAAUUAGCAGCAGCUUCCCACCCAGGCACCCAGAUUCAUAACAGACCACCGUCCCGCCAUGGCCUAGUUUCCCGGGGGAGGCAUUAAAAUCAGGCCAGGCGGCUUACGUGGCCACCCCAACUCCUCCCUUUCCCAAGGGUAGAAACUAGAGGGUUACAGACAUACCUUCCUACGGGGAGGAGCUGGCAAAGCUGACAGAUUCCCCACAUUUGGGAAGUAAAAUGAUCUCUACAGGGGGAGCCCUCUAAGUUUUUCCUUCUGGAAUCAGAGGUUAGGAAGGAAAAAACCUGGACACGAAGCAGCCUGCUGCUUUCACAGAACCCAGGCAGCUGCUGCUGAGCUCGGGAGCGGCUCCACUGCAUCCCAGCUAUAGGCUGUCUCUGCCUGCUUGCCUAAUUAAUGUUUAGAGGCUGUGAUACUCUGAGCUGCUGGAGAAUUUAGAGGCAAUACCCCCCCUCCAAAAAAAAAAACCAACCAGCCAUGAGAAACAUCUUCUCAUCCAGAGAUUAGGCAAGGAAAAAUCCUGCCCGUUCCAAAGCGUCAGAUAUUCUCAUCUGGCAUUUUGGCAGGAAGGCACCAUUUUCUUCCUUGGCUGGAAGACAAUCUACCAAAAAGACCUAAGACUUGUCUAUGCAGGAAAAAUUCCCAACAGAGAUCUGGUGGUAUAAUUAGACGGGCAACGCUCCCCAUAUGGACAUGCUGCUUCCAGAGUAAGAGUGUGGGCUUGGAGUUGCAGUUUUCCUCCUCUGCGAUAGCUUAUGUCACUGUCAAAGUUACACAGGGGCAGAGGAGGAGGAGGAGGAGGAGGAGGGAGAGGGCAAAGGAAGUAGCAGAGAGGAAAAAACCCUCUUCUUCCAGAGUCAUAGGAGCCACAUGAGGAAUUUUACCAGCAGACCUAUGCUGCUGGAAUUACACUGAUAUAAUGGAACCGGUCAUUUCUCACAUGUAAACUAACCUGAAAUCAAAAGGGCUAUAAAGCAGCUGUAAAACACAGCUCCACCAUUACAGACUUGGCAGGGGGAGCCUGGGGGGAAGAGGGAGGGCGAGUGGGCAGCUAUUUAGCUGGAGACUGGGGAAAUGAGGAGGAAAGAAAGCGGAUUUUUAUCCCCUUAUGGUCCUAGUGGCUCCUGCGGCUCUCCCUGAGGAAAAUGGGAUGGGGACUGAUCUGGGGUCUAGAGCUGAGAGGGGGAGGAGGCCAACUAAAUCAUUUUCAUCAGCUCUCCCUCAUUUCUGAAUGACUUUGCAGCUCUCAUCUGCAGAACAGAUGUGCUCCCCCAUCUCCACCCCCCCACCCCCCACCAGCAUUGAACACGCCAUAGGUGAUCCUGGCACCCAGCCAGCUUAUACAACCAACUGCAGCUCAAAGGCUCCGGUGCUGGGUUCAGCCUAGGGGCCCCAGGGCACUCCAUCUCGGGUCCACUAUAUUUGAAUAUGCCCAGCGUGACCCAGGGACAGGAUUCUUUCCAGCCUCCAGGAUAUGCCCCAAAAUACGUGCCAACACCAUGAAACGUGGUCUGAGCACGCUGCCCUUGGCAUCCGUUUCGGGUGCGGAGAGGAGGAAAGUGCUUUCCAUCACAGCAUCCCUGGAAGGUCACGGCACCUGCACAAAAGGGCCGGGGGAGAUCCUGCGUGCUGGCCACAGCCCAGAGAGCAGGGCUGUGAUUUACCUCCACUCCUCUGCAUAGGCAGGAGGGGGAAGGAUGAGAAGGCGGGAGCGGGAAUACCAGAAUCAAGCCCCUGCCUCCCCUCAGGCAAAGGGUGGCUGCCAGGAGGGGCAAAAAUAAAAAAAUCAAAUCUGUAAAGAUCCAGCAACUCUACCUGUCUUCCUGGUGCCGGGUUGUUACCAAAAAUGGGCAGUCUCCCCAUUGCACAUUUGCUUGGCUCAGGCAAUGCGGACACAGUCAUUCAUUUCAUCUGGGCAGCUGGCCGCUUUCACCUUGCGUCUGUCCUAGAGACGCUCCCUGCUGCAACAUUUGCCUUAAAAAUGCGGCAAGUGAAAGCCCUUUACUUAUUUAAAAAAAAAAAUAAGAG